AGGUGAUAGAUAGAUCGAUAGAUCGGUCGGUCGGUCGGUCAGUCGGUCGAUCGGUAGAUCGGUAGAUCGG
rnacentral:miRNA from 1 species